GAUGAACGCUGGCGGCGUGCCUAAUACAUGCAAGUCGAGCGAAUGGAUUAAGAGCUUGCUCUUAUGAAGUUAGCGGCGGACGGGUGAGUAACACGUGGGUAACCUGCCCAUAAGACUGGGAUAACUCCGGGAAACCGGGGCUAAUCCCGGAUAAUCUUUUGAACCGCAUGGUUCGAAAUUGAAAGGCGGCUUCGGCUGUCCGUUAUGGAAGGACCCGCGUCGCAUUAGCUAGUUGGGGAGGUAACGGCUCACCAAGGCAACGAUGCGUAGCCGACCUGAGAGGGUGAUCGGCCACACUGUGACUGAGACACGGCCCAGACUCCUACGGGAGGCAGCAGUAGGGAAUCUUCCGCAAUGGACGAAAGUCUGACGGAGCAACGCCGCGUGAGUGAUGAAGGCUUUCGGGUCGUAAAACUCUGUUGUUAGGGAAGAACAAGUGCUAGUUGAAUAAGCUGGCACCUUGACGGUACCUAACCAGAAAGCCACGGCUAACUACGUGCCAGCCGCCGCCGUAA
rnacentral:rRNA from 1 species